ensembl:snoRNA U3 Small nucleolar RNA U3
AAGUCUAUACUUUCGGGGAUCAUUUCUAUAAUGUUUGACUUUUGAUUUGAAAAUGUUGCGUCAUGAUGAAGAGUACCCAUACUUAAUUCUGAGUGCGAAUUGAAUGGAGUGUAAUUAGUAAUCUGCUCUUUAUCAUUGAUGGCUGUUUCUUCUGUGUUUCACAGUUAGGAGGAAGGAAGUAUGGACAGU